GCGCCAGCAGCCCUGGGGGACACCGGGACCCCGCGGGGACAGCGCCAGCAACCCUGGGGGACAGUGCCCCCAGCCCCGGGGGGACACCGGGACCCCGCGGGGACAGCGCCAGCAACCCUGGGGGACAGUGCCCCCAGCCCUGGGGGGACACCGGCACCCCGCGGGGACAGUGCCAGCAGCCCCGGGGGACACGGCUCCCCACGGUGCGGCUGGGAAGGCACCGGAGUGUCCCCUCGCAGAGGGAUGUCACCCGGGGCAGGUGGCACAGGAGCUCUGGGGUGUCUGCAAGCCCCGGGCAGCGCUGUCACCCUCCAAGGGAAGAAGUUCUGUCUCGCCCUGGGGCAGAACUUGUCCGGUUUUAUUCAUUUAUGGCUGUUGUUCUUCGUCCUGUCUCAGUGAACAGAACCUUGGAGAUGUUUACGUGCCUUGGUGACAUCUCAGGCUUCUCUAAGCUAAACGUGCCCAGCUCAUUUUUGGAUGGAGAGGAGAGGAAGCCCCCGGUGUCUGUCCAGCCCCAGACAGGUUUUACACGUAAAGCUGCCUCAUCCUUGUGAAAAGUUACUUUUGUUCGGUGUCAAGCGGCGAUGACUGUUCUGCAGAGGGAGCUGAAGAUCUCUGUGCAGAAAUGAAUGCUUGUCCUUCACUGCUGAUGAGAUUCCUCCAAGGAGUGACAUUUUGGGAUGACGCUGCUGGCUCGGGCUGCCAUGGAGAAUAAGGGAGCUGUUGCUGCUCUAUUUAUCCCCUGCAGAAGUUCUGGCAGUGAGUAACUGAUGGCUCGGGUUAGUCAGACAUCCACCCUUUCAGUGAUUGAUGGGUACGUGAGCGAGCCUUCCAGAAUCCUCUUUGAAUAGCAAAUGGUGUCAUCCCGAGCUGCCACUUGCCAAAUUUCACUCCUCUUUCACCUUUUCUUCGCAUCCAAACUCCGAGUGUCAAAAGUUACUUUUUCCCUGCAGAAUGUUACCUAACACUCCUUCUCAGUCACGUCAUUCUAAAGGAAGUUUUUAGCCUUAAAACUCAUUUGCUUCCUGCCCUGCUUCAAGCCUCAGCCCGAUGCAAAAUGAAUUAUUAAGUCAGAUUUUGGUGCUCGGAAGAGAAAACUUCUACAGAAGAGCCACCACAAAGCCGGAAAAUUCAGCUCACAAAAAAACCCCCACGGCUUAGAAAGGCUGAGAGAGGAACUGCACCCGCAAAAAAAAACAUCAUUUGCAGGGCAGCUUUCAGAGCCUUUUGAUGAUUUUUGCUCUGCUC